rnacentral:rRNA from 1 species
GACUACUAGGGUAUCUAAUCCUGUUUGCUCCCCACGCUUUCGUGCAUGAGCGUCAGUACAGGUCCAGGGGGCUGCCUUCGCCAUCGAUGUUCCUCCUGAUAUCUACGCAUUUCACUGCUACACCAGGAAUUCCACCCCCCUCUACCGUACUCUAGUCACACAGUCACAAACGCAGUUCCCAGGUUAAGCCCGGGGAUUUCACAUCUGUCUUAUGUAACCGCCUGCGCACGCUUUACGCCCAGUAAUUCCGAUUAACGCUCGCACCCUACGUAUUACCGCGGCUGCUGGCACGUAGUUAGCCGGUGCUUCUUCUUACGGUACCGUCAUCUACCCGGGAUAUUCACCCAGGCAAUUUCUUUCCGUCUGAAAGAGCUUUACAACCCGAAGGCCUUCUUCACUCACGCGGCAUGGCUGGAUCAGGCUUUCGCCCAUUGUCCAAAAUUCCCCACUGCUGCCUCCCGUAGG